rnacentral:lncRNA from 1 species
GAUUUAGCAAUCCCUCCUAAUCCCCAGCCUAGAACGAUCCCUACUUACAUACUUUACUACAAUUGAUAAAAAGAGGGUUUAAUUUGUGUGUUUAGUUAUUUUACGCAUCAAAUACUCUAAGAUAUGAUUCUAAAGUCUUUGGCCAAAGCAAAUGAAUAUGACUUAGGAAGUUUGUUCCAAAUCAUAUUCAAAGGAAUCAUAUAGGAAAGUAUCACAUUGGAUAGUAGACAUGAAACAAACUAUCACUUAAACAAUGUGAUUAAGAGUAUUGUAUUAGAGAAGGACCGUAUUACAUUGUAGUUGUAACUGGAUAGGUUCUCCAACCAAUUCUACUUAGCUU